rnacentral:rRNA from 1 species
GUCUAUGGCCAUACCACCCUAAACACACCUGAUCUCGUCUAAUCUCGGAAGUUAAGUGGGGUCAGAUCUGGCUAGUACUUGGGUAGGAGAAGGUAGGAAUGAACCCACUGACCAUACCCA